rnacentral:rRNA from 1 species
AUUGAACGCUGGCGGCAUGCCUUACACAUGCAAGUCGAACGGUAACAGGUCUUCGGAUGCUGACGAGUGGCGAACGGGUGAGUAAUACAUCGGAACGUGCCCGAUCGUGGGGGAUAACGGAGCGAAAGCUUUGCUAAUACCGCAUACGAUCUACGGAUGAAAGCAGGGGACCGCAAGGCCUUGCGCGGACGGGGCGGCCGAUGGCAGAUUAGGUAGUUGGUGGGAUAAAAGCUUACCAAGCCGACGAUCUGUAGCUGGUCUGAGAGGACGACCAGCCACACUGGGACUGAGACACGGCCCAGACUCCUACGGGAGGCAGCAGUGGGGAAUUUUGGACAAUGGGCGAAAGCCUGAUCCAGCCAUGCCGCGUGCAGGAUGAAGGCCUUCGGGUUGUAAACUGCUUUUGUACGGAACGAAAAGACUCUUUCUAAUAAAGAGGGUCCAUGACGGUACCGUAAGAAUAAGCACCGGCUAACUACGUG